rnacentral:lncRNA from 1 species
CCACAUCAAACUUUACUUAUGGACGUGGAAACUUCUCAGUGUCAUGAAGUGUUAGUUUUUUAUUUGUUCAACCAUUUGGAAACAUAAAAUCCAUUCUUGAUUCACGGGCCACAAGAGCAGGCAGGGACAGGCUGCCCCUGGCCGACCUCUGGAAUGAGCUUAGAGAAGGAAAUGACAGGCUGGGCCAGCUCAGCCUCCUCACCGAGAAUUUGCUGCAGGAGGGUCCUUCUUAGCAGCCACUUCUCAUCCUUCAUCUUGGCUUCAGAUGCAGUUCAGGUGGAGAAAGAACAAGACUGGCCUCAGCAACAAGGAGGAAGGAGAUGCAGGGUCAAGUAGCCACGUGGAUCCAUCACACUCAACACUCACACCAAGCGGAGCACAGGCAGGGCCAGCCCGGGGGCGCCAAAGUGGAGGCUCUCUGGGGUGGGGGACCUCUGGCUGGGCAAGAUUCUCUACCUAAAACUCAUAUAGAAGAUCUAUGGCAGCAGUUACAGAAAACACACGCUAAGAAAGAGCCCAAGAUAAAAACAGCACACCAAGUUUGGCCAACCGGCUCUCACAAGCCAGUAGGUAAGAAAGCCCAGGAGAGCCCACCAGAGGAGCUGGGGGUGGGUUCCUGCCUGCAGGGGGUCUGGGACACCCCAUUCCCACAGACGAGGACCCAUGUUUUGGGGAGGAAGCUGUCAGAGUCACCAGUGAGCUGUUCAGAGCUGGAGCCACAGAGCAGGAGGAGGGGGCACCCAGAAGGGGCCCUGAAGUCAAGGGCAUCGUCCAACCUUUCUACCUCCCCAGCUGAAGACAUGCUGGAGGACAAUUCUCCAGAGUUUCAUAACAAAGAAGAGAAAAAAGAAAUCAAAAAGACCUGGAGGAUAGGUAAGCUAAUGAGGGCUGACUGGGAUUACCCUGCCUAAUCCUCAAAACAAGCCUUCCCUGUCUGUCCUCUGGGCCUGGUGAGGAAACAGGUCACAGUAGGACAUUCAGACCCUGGACAGGCAGCUGGCAGCCUGGAGUCCAGGACGUGCAAACACAUUUUGACGAAG